rnacentral:misc_RNA from 1 species
AUCUAUUCAGUCGUUUCUCGUCUUAGACGACAGUCGAACCAGUCAACGACGCUCUGGAGAAUGAGAGAAAGAUGAACCUUUCCCCAAGUUUGAUAAUUACACUGUCUCUGUUGCUAGCUGGAAUUUAUGGAUCUAUACACAACGAAUGUACAUGUAUUCAUGAUGGAAAAAAUAGGUGUCUUUGUGAAGGAGGAAUAGAUACAUUUCCAACAUUCUUAUAUGCUGGUCGCUUACAUUCUUUGUCAUUUAUAAAUGCUAAUAUUACUUCCAUACAUGCUAAUUCAUUGGAGCAUUAUAAAGCUACAUUGUCUGAAUUGUCUAUCACGAGGAUGAGAAGAUUAGUUACAAUCGAUGAUGGUGUAUUGCAAGAUUUUCAACAAUUGAACUUUCUCACUGUUAUUCAGACACCACUAUCAAAAUUACCUAAAAUGAGUGGACUUGGUGUACACAUUCCAAUGCAUAGAAUAGAUUUUGAAAACAAUAAAAUAAGGAUUAUAAGGACUAAUAAUGUCAGAGUACGAACAGAUGAUAUGUUUUUGAACUACAAUGCUAUUACAACGAUUGAAGGAUGGGCCUUUAAUGGUUCUGAAAUAUCAAAACUAAGUUUGAAAGGGAAUAAAGAAUUGAGUGACAUUGCUGUUAGUGCGUUUCAAGGACUUAAAAGUUUAAGAGAGAUUGACCUGUCAGAUACUUCAUUAUCAUAUUUACCAGUGCUUGGCCUUGAAGAACUUGAAAUACUUAACUUGGAAAAUACCAAGACACUGCGUACAAUUCCAUCAAUAUAUGAUCUCAAAAAUCUAAAAAAAGCAUUGUUAACAUAUUCAUUUCACUGCUGUGCAUUCCAAUAUCCAGCGAAGCACAACCCCAAAAGGCACAAAGUGUACAUUGAACAAUUAAAUAGAUUUUGUAAAUCUGUCUCAAGGAGAAAUGAAAGAGAUAUGGAAGAAGGAUUUGGAGAAAUAGUACCUGCUUUUCAUAAUUCAUCAAAUUUGAUCAAUCCAUCUAAUGUGGAUGUUGUAGGAGAAGUUGAAAAAAAGGUACAUCAUGGAAUUUUUCACCAAAUUUCUGCCUCAAUCAGCUAUGGAAAAAAUUAUGAGCUAUGUGGGAAAAUAACAAGAAGGAAACCAGUUGACUGUCGGCCUCAGCCUAAUGCCCUAAACCCAUGUGAAGAUAUGAUGAGUUGGGCAUGGUUAAGAAUAAGUGUCUGGAUAGUCUUAUCGUCUGCAAUUUUUGGGAAUGUUGCAGUUUUAGCUGUGCACAUAUUUAUUCGAAGUGAAAAAAAUGUGCCUCGACUUCUUAUGGGCAACUUGGCAUUUGCAGAUCUCUGUAUGGCAUUUUACUUGCUACUUCUAGCAAUAAUGGAUCUCAUUUCUACUGAGACAUAUUUCAAUUUUGCAUACAUGUGGCAAGAAGGCUACGGUUGCAGAAUCGCUGGGUUUUUAACUGUGUUUGCCAGUCAGUUAUCACUGUUUACACUUUGCGUUUUGACUAUUGAAAGAUGGUUUGCAAUAAGGCAUGCUCUUUAUAGUAAUAUCAUUGACAUUAAAUUAGCAUUUAAGAUAAUGGCUUCAGGUUGGAUUUACUCCUUGACUAUGGCAAUAUUACCACUUUGCGGUGUUAGCAGUUACUCUAAUACAAGUAUUUGCCUUCCAAUGGAAAUUGGUGACAAGUUUUCAUUAGCAUAUGUAAUUGUGUUACUAUCGAUGGCAGCAUUUGGAUUCGGAUUGAUGUGCUUUUGUUAUAUACAAAUUUAUUUGUCUUUGAACUAUGAGACGAGAACUCGAGGAGAGGGAUCAAUUGCAAAAAAAAUUACAAUACUGGUUGGAACUAAUUUCAUAUGUUGGGCUCCAAUAGCUUUUUUCUCUGUCACAGCAGUCGCCGGCUUUCCGUUAAUAAGUGUUACACAAUCAAAAAUCUUAUUAGUAUUCUUUUACCCCCUUAACUCAUGUGCCAACCCUUUUCUUUAUGCUAUCCUAACAAGACAAUACAGAAAGGACAUUGUUAUGUUACUAGCAAGGCAUGGAAUGUGUCAUCAAUGUGCUAGAAAAUAUACAUUUGUAUAUUCUAGGCCAUUAUCAAAUAAUAAUCGAAACACCGGUGAAACACAACUUUAAUUCCUAAAAUAAAGUAUUAUUAAAUAAUUUAUAUUAAAAGCUGUGAUAUUAUUAUAGAAUUAUCACUCUUACAAAUUUAAUCCAAAUGCUCAUAAUAAACAAUAAUUUACCUCAAAAUGUGAUUAAAAAAUCAUUGUUCUUAUUUUUUAACAAAUUAUCCUGCUAUAAAGAACACUAAGUAGUAUUUGAAAACAAGUAAAUUAUGCAGACAGUUAACUGUUUAUAAGACAAUGUCAAGAAUUGAAACGAUGAUUUUACUAAUAAUUUCAUUAAAAUAUAAAUUGUGAGAUUUCCUCCUGAUCUGCAGAGUGAUGAGCCUGUAAUUUGAUCCUUAUCGAAUAAAUUACACUAAAACAUGUUUGUUAAUAACAACUGUAGUACAUCUAUUCCGUUAGUUGGUCAAAGAAAAUGUUAAAAUGGACUUGUGAGUAAGUAAAAUAAUUAAAUACACAGUUGUCUUUACUGUAAGUACUAGAUCUAUACUGUAGUACUAGAUAAUGAGUACUCUACCACCAUUGAGUGAAUGGUAUAUAAAUAAAUAACAUAAUAGAAGUAAAUGAAAAGGUUGUAUUUAAGAAUAAGUGAGAAUGUGUCUAGGUCGUUGGGGGAUGAAAUGACCUACAUGUUGACAGCCCCUGAAGCCUAACUUUAGUGGUGGAACAAGCAGUAAUUACUUUGCGCUCAUCAGGAUCCCAUAAUCAAUAACCAUUUGCUGUAUCCAAUAAGCUGUUUAUACCUUUCUAAUAAUUUUCCAUCUCGAUCCUCCUUGGGUAUAUACCCAAGUGCAAAAGCCCGACUUCCAAAUACUCUCAUUUUUUCUAGGUUGACUGGCCUAUUGAACCAAACUUCAGCUGGUAUCUUCCCAUUUGCUUUUGUACAAAGUCUGUUAAUUAUAUAUAUUGAUGUUUGUGCUUCUCUCCAUAAUUCCUUAUUUAAACGCAUCUGGCACACGCAAUGCAUCUGGCCAUAUCUAGUAUUGUGCGAUUCAUGCGUUCGCAAAUUACAUUUUGUUCUGGAUUAUGUGGUAUGUUGUAUCCUAAUGUGAUACUAUGUUCCUUACAGUACUGAAUAAAUGAGUUUGAGACAUAUUCUCUUCCCUUAUCACAACGAAAAUACAAUAUUUUUUAUGAAAACAUGCGGAGACUUCGGCAUGAUAUUCCCUAAAAUAACUCUGAUUUUCUCUUUAGUAGGUAAACUUAUGUAAAAUGUGAAUAAUGUUUGAUAAAAGUUGCAUAGUAUUUGUAGCCAUCAUAAGUUAAGAGUGUAAAAGGACCUGCUACAUCUGAACUCACAACUUACAAAAUUCGCCUAGGCUUCCUUUCAUUUUCUAAAUGACCGAUGAAUGUUCCAUUUCCGGCGGCAGCAUCCACGUAAUCUGCGCCAUAGCCACUUUCGCUGUUUCAUAACGUAUCACGAGCUAAAACCCAAAGGGACAUGUUUUAAAAUUCCCUAUUGUCGGCAUAUACUAGAUCAAAGAAAGAAGGAAGUCGAAGAAAAAGGACAAAGGAAGCCUGACUUUUUCCGGGAGGUAUUUACGAGGACAAUCACUUCUGUCGGCUCGUUUUUCUCUUCUGGCUUGUCUAGACACACCAAGCUUGCACGUUUGGGAGGAAUUCUUCGUCUUCCUUCGCCGAACUAGGAUCUUCAGUUCAAAGAUCUUCUUCUGCCAUUUGGAAUUUUGGACUCCAUUCAGUCACGUUCCGCCAGACGUCUAUGUCUCGAUAUAGUUGGUGAGGUGCUCAUUUUUAACAUCAUUUCUUCAAAAUUUUUCUUUAAUAAAUUUUUCGAUUAACAAGAAUUGUGCCCAAGAUAUUUUAUU